UGGAUCCCUGAUGACUACUGGUGGUGCAUGAGUCCUACAUGGUGAAUGCAUGUCUGCAACUCUGAAGGUCCAG
ensembl:snoRNA